CCGCGUAUCCGCUGCCGCCUCGUCCGGCUCCGACACUCACGAGACGCGUGGCCUCCUCGCUUGCGGGACCGGCGUCGGUGUCGCCAUCUUCGCUAACAAAUUUCCCGGCGUCUAUGCCGCCACCUGCCUCACCGUCGCGGAGGCACGCAAUACUCGCUCAAUCAACAACUGCAACGUUCUCGCUCUCUCCGGCAUGGCCACCGAUCGUGAAUCCGCUGUUGAUAUCGUCACCGCCUGGCUGAAUACUCCUUUCAAGUCUCCUUGCCCUGCAUCAGACAACGAGCCCUGGAACCCUGAGAUCUCGACUUUCUUCGACAAUUCUCUGGCGGAGAUGGCCAAAAUCGGCGAGAAAGAC
rnacentral:lncRNA from 1 species